rnacentral:rRNA from 1 species
GAUGAACGCUGGCGGCGUGCCUAAUACAUGCAAGUCGAGCGAACGGACGAGGUGCUUUCUCCUCUUCCGUUAGCGGCGGGCGGGUGAGUAACACGUGGAUCACCUACCUAUUAUACUGGGAUAACUUCGUGCAACCGCUGCUAAUACCGCGUAAUAUAUUUAACCGCAUGGUUCAAUGGUUAAACAGGGUUUUGGUGUCGCUUAUAGAUGGAUCCGCGUUGCCUUAGCUAGUUGGUAAGGUAACGGCUUACCAAGGCUACGAUGCGUAGCCGACCUGAGAGGGUGAUCGGCCACACUGGAACUGAGACACGGUCCAGACUCCUACGGGAGGCAGCAGUAGGGAAUCUUCCGCAAUGGGCGAAAGCCUGACGGAGCAACGCCGCGUGAGUGAUGAAGGCCUUCGGAUCGUAAAACUCUGUUAUUAGGGAAGAACAACUGUGGGAGUAACUAUGGCCGUCUUGACGGUACCUAAUCAGAAAGCCACGGCUAACUACGUG